AACCUUUUUUGUUUUUUGGAAAUCAUGGGGUUUUUGGUUUUGGGUUGAUUGAGAGGCUAUUGUCACGUUGCAGAUUGAUUAGUUGUGUGAAGGGAAAUCAUGAAUUGUUGAUUUUGAUAAUCAAUAAAUGAAAGAUCCCACAAUAUUAGUAGGUUUGCAGAUUUCAAUGAUGAACAAAUGCUGGUCUGCUUUGUUGAAUGGAUGUUCUUGCUGAAUGAACAGGUGGACCUCAUUCAUGAGGAAGGUUAUGAGCAAGCUUGGAGAUUUAGAUGUAAAUUCAAUUGGCUAGUGGCCAAAAAUCAAAAUUAUGCUCAGACAUGGAGCUAAUGUGAACCAAAUUAUAUGUGCUUCUAUGAGUCAACAUUCUCCAGAAGAAAAACUAAUGAAAAUGUUCCAUUUAACAACAGGGUGAGAAAAGGCCUGAAAUGAAGGACUCUUGGAAAGGGUAAUGACAAUGCUCUUUACCAUUCAUUUAGAUGUUGCUCUGUCUUCCAACACACAGUUGAGAACUAUGUCAUUAUUGAUGUAACUGGGUUUUCAAACUGGUUAUAUGUAUUCCUUCCUUUUGUCUGUAAUAUACAAUUCAUCUCAUUUCUUGUAGUGCUGCCUGCUUUUCCUUACAUGGCUAGAUGAUCAUUUGGUGGCACCA